UUUGAGUUUGAUUUGAUUUUUUUUUUGGUUUUAUUCCGUUCAAUUUAACGAAUCCGCUUUGAAAAUCAAGAUUAUUGUUGAAUCAACGCUAAACGUCAAAGCAACUUUUUCAAAACAACAAAAGAUUUUUGUGAAAUUAAGAAAAUUAAGGUUUGUUUCAACGCAAAAUCGGCGUUGAUUAUAUUCAACAAAUUUUUUGUUAAAUCAAACCUCGUACAGGCUGAUUCUACAAAAUAUUUUUCUGCGUGUAAUACUAGAAAUAAUCAAAUGAUUCGAAAUACAGGAAAUGAUAAUAUCAAAAAAAAAAAAAAACAUGAAAAAAUUAAUAAAUACUAAAAAGGGUUGUGUUGGGACGGUGUGUAGUUUAUGGACACGUCCUUAUUGUGUACAUUCUGAAGAACAAUACGAAGGUUCACUUGUGACGAAUAAAGAUCUGACGAUCACUCUCUUCUUCAUCCAGCCACCGUCCUAGACGGUUGGUCUGAAGUGUAGUGCAAGCUAUUGUUUCAUUUCUGCUGCUAUCCUUGGUCAUCUGGGAACCUGCAAUCAAUCAACACAACGUACUAUGGGUCCUACUGCUUUGCGCGAUCAGGUUGAAAUACUGAACAAAAAACAUGAUAAAGCUUAAAUAUAUGAAAUAUUUGAGAUAUUCAAAUGUUUCAAAAUACUUAAAAUACUAAAAACACCAGUGUUACGACCGCUGAGAUGGCCACACUGCCACACGGUGUAGAGCCGGCGGUGUAAUAGGCCGACUCCAACUAAACUGUCAACGCGCGCGAAAGCAGAGAAGAAACAAAAACAAGUGCGUGUGUGACACACAGUGGCAACACGCAAAACCUAAAAAACUCCAUUUUACUCGGCAAAGUGCGAUCGUGUGGAGAAGUUGUUGUUCGGAUCUGUUCGGGGAAAAUAUUGUGUUGUAGGCGUUUUCAAAGUUGAAUUUAUUGAAACAGCUUAAACUUAGCACACCUCAACGUUGAAGACCACAAAGCUGCUCCGCCGCCGUACCGUCACUUAGCACAACAUUGUACAGUGACUUUGACCUGAAGUGGGACAGAGGAGAGGAAAGGAAGAGGAGUUGUAGGAGUGAAGGAAAGGAAAAGUUUUCCGUUGGAAAGGAAGACUAAUUUAGUAAGUAACACAGACACAAAACUGUAAACUAAAACUAAAUAAACUUACCUUUUGCAGUUUUGUAGCUGUCAAAAGACUGCUCACAAAAGUUGGUUUUACUACCACCCGAACAACCAGACAAAUUUGAUUUUUUUAAACUCGAGAUACUUGAAAUACAAAAAAUCCUUGAAAUUAUUGAUCGACUUGCAAUAUUUUGAGAUCCAUAAAAUAGGUGUAAUAUUUGAAAUGUUUGAUUUUCUUGAAAUAUAUGAAAUACAAGGUUGUUAACGAUAAAAUUAUCGAGGCUCGAUAACGAUAACGAUAAUUCUAUCGUUAUCGACUUAGUUCAACCAAAUCGUGUUAAAUUUUCAAUGUUUUCACUGAGAAUAUAUUUUUUGAAAAUUUAGUAAGUUUCAAAGUAUAAAUACUCAAAAUUGUCCACAAAAUUCCGUAUUUUUCGAAAGAACUCAAAUUUUCAUAAUUUGCAAUUUAUCAAACGAAGCGAAAUGUUGCAUGCUUUUUCACUAUAAUAAAAAAAAUUUAAGCUUUUCACAAAAUACCCUAUUUCUUCGAAAAUAUUAAAAUUUUCAAAAUAUGCAAUAUGGGUAUCAAACAAAGCGAAAUUUGAUGUUUAUUUUCAGUUUAUUAGAGUUUUCUUUAUGAAAUACUGAAUUUUUCACAAAAUACUGUAAUUUUCGAAAAUACUCAAAUUUUUAAAAUCCGCAAUGGAAGCGGAAUUUUGAAUGCAUUUUCACUUACUUAAAAAAAAUAUAUGAGGCAUGAACUAUUUCGCAUAUUUAGAAAAUUUUAAUAUUUUCGAAACAAAAUACGGUAUUUUGUGAAAAUUUUAACAUUUAUUAAAAAAACUUCAUUAUUGUGAAAAAACAUACAACAUUUCUCUUCGUUUGUUCUCAUAUUGCAAAUUUUGUAAAUUUGAGUAUAUUCGAAAAAAACGGUAUUUUGUUAAAAUUUUAGUAUUUUUCAAAAAAAAACUCUAAUGAAGUUAAAAAGGCAUACAAAAUUUCGCUUCGUUUGAUACCCAUAUUGCAAAUUUUGAAAAUUAGGGUAUUUUCGAAAAAAUACGGUAAUUUGUGAAAAUGUCAGCAUUUUUCAAAAAAAUUAUCUAUUAAAGUGAAAAAGCAUACCAAAUUUCGCUUCGUUUGAUACCCAUAUUGCAAUUUUUGCAAAUUUGAGUAUUUUCGGAAAAAUGCGAUAUUUUGUGAAAAUUUUAGUAUUUAAAAAAACUCCUAUGAAGUGAAAAAGUAUACAAAAUUUCGCUUCGUUUGAUACCCAUAUUGCAGAUUAUGAAAAUUUGAGUACUUUUGAAAAGUAUAGUAUUUUGUGAACAAUUUUGAGCAUGCUGCUUUGAAACUUACUACAUUUUCAAAAAAUAUUUCUUAUAAUACUUAAUUAACACGAUUUGGUUGAAUUAAGUCGAUAUUAGAAAGAAUUUAAAAAUGAGUUAUCGUCCAUUAUUGGCGAUAAGAUAAUCGCCGAUAGAAUUAUCGAAAUAACGAUAACGAUAGAUUAUCGUUAUUGUCCCGACGAUAACGAUAACCAUUAUCGUUAUCGUUAGACAAAAAAUUAUCGACGAUAAAUUUUUCGAUUAACGAUUUUCGAUCCGAAGGUUUGUAUGAGAUUUCGGAUAAUCGAGUCACGAACAAAAGAACAUUUUUUUCGUAUUUUUAAAUUUUCUUGUUUUUAACAUCAAAUUUGAGUUCUGUGACCCCAUUUUAAACAAAUUUGAAUGGCCUAUUAAAUUACCAAAUGCAUUUUUUCAAUAUUUCAUCACCGCAAUUUUGGCCGCCAUCUUGGAUUUAAACAUUCUUAAUCACUUUAGAGUUGUUUAGGGGUCAUACUUAAAUUCAGCAAUAAAAAAAAGACAACAAAAAAAUAUUUUUUUCGUGGUUCGAUUAUCCGAAGUGAAAUUUUUUCGAGACCUUCGGAUAAUCAAGUCUGGGCUGUAUCUGAAUUAUUUUGUAGCUGUAAGUAUCUCCAAAACUCUGUAUUUUGUAAUUAGUUAAGCAUUUUGUAUUAUGAUAAGUACAACAAAUAAACAUGAAUUGAAUAAAUACAAACAAUUACAUACCAAAAAUUAAAAAAAAAUAAAUAUAAAAAAACUUCAAAAAAUCAAAAAUUUAAAAAUUCAAAGAAUCCAAAACAUAAAAAUAAAAAAAAAUCUAAAAUUUAAAAAAUUCAAGAACUCAAAGAUUUCAAAAUUUUAAAUUCCAAAGGCAAAAAUCAAAAACAAGUCAAAA